UCGAAUAUAGCCCAGCAUAUGAAUCCCGUAGUUUUUAUGGCCGCGGGAGAUGUGGUGUUCGGGAGGUUCCGCUUUCUCGUCGCGGUCGCUCCUGUCCAAGUUGGUCUUGAAGGGGGCCGUUUGCCCGCACACGGUGCCAGGCCCGUAGCGACCGAGGACCUUGGAGAGAGGGACUCUCCUUAGAGUCUGGUUGCUUGAGAUGCAAAGCCUUAGUGGGUGCUAAACUCCAUCUAAUGCUAAGUCUUACCGCAAGACCCAUUGAGGACAAAUGU
rnacentral:rRNA from 1 species